rnacentral:misc_RNA from 1 species
UUUCCGUAGGUGAACCUGCGGAAGGAUCAUUACAGAGUCCGCCUACUUGUAGGCACCUCUCACCCUUGAAUACAUACCUUUGUUGCUUUGGCGGGCCGGGUGCCCACGCGCCGCCGGCCCAGGCUGGAGAGCGCCCGCCAGAGGACCAUUUAAACCCUGCUCACGGUGUAAUCUGAGUACAAACAAAAAUUGAAUCAAAACUUUCAACAACGGAUCUCUUGGUUCUGGCAUCGAUGAAGAACGCAGC